GUGGGGAAUCUUAGACAAUGGGGGCAACCCUGAUCUAGCCAUGCCGCGUGAGUGAUGAAGGCCUUAGGGUUGUAAAGCUCUUUCAGUGGGGAAGAUAAUGACGGUACCCACAGAAGAAGCCCCGGCUAACUCCGUGCCAGCAGCCGCGGUAAUACGGAGGGGGCUAGCGUUGUUCGGAAUUACUGGGCGUAAAGCGCACGUAGGCGGAUCGGAAAGUUGGGGGUGAAAUCCCAGGGCUCAACCCUGGAACUGCCUUCAAAACUAUCGGUCUGGAGUCCGAGAGAGGUGAGUGGAAUUCCGAGUGUAGAGGUGAAAUUCGUAGAUAUUCGGAGGAACACCAGUGGCGAAGGCGGCUCACUGGCUCGGUACUGACGCUGAGGUGCGAAAGCGUGGGGAGCAAACAGGAUUAGAUACCCCAGUAGUCC
rnacentral:rRNA from 1 species